rnacentral:rRNA from 1 species
GAUGAACGCUGGCGGCGUGCUUAACACAUGCAAGUCGAACGGAAAGGCUCCUGCUUGCAGGGGUACUCGAGUGGCGAACGGGUGAGUAACACGUGGGUGAUCUGCCCUGCACUUUGGGAUCAGCCUGGGAAACUGGGUCUCAUACCGGAUCGGAGGAUGGUUUGGAUGCCCUUGUGGACAGCUUUUCGUUGUGGGAUGCGCUGGCGGCCUAUCGGCUUGUUGGGGGGGUAAUGGCCUACCAAGUCGUCGAAGGGUAGCCGGUCUGAGAGGCGGUAAGGCCGCCUGAGGGCGUGUACGGGCACAUUGGGACUGAGGGACGGCGCAGUGUCCUACUGUGGGCAGCGGGGGGGAAUAUGGCACAAUAGGGCCGAGCCUAAGGCAGAGACGCCGCGUGUGGGAUGACGGCCUUCAGGGUGUGAACUGCUUUCGGUAAAGACGAAGCGCAAAUGACGGUACCGGGAGAAGAAGCACCGGCUAACUACGUG